CGGCCCGCACAAGCAGCGGAGCGUGUGGUUUAAUUCGAUGUUACACGAAGAACCUUACCAGGGUUUGACAUGCAAGUGGUAGGAAGCCGAAAGGUGACCGACCCUUCGGGGAGCUUGCACAGGUGCUGCAUGGCUGUCGUCAGCUCGUGUCGUGAGAUGUUGGGUUAAGUCCCGCAACGAGCGCAACCCUUGUCAUUAGUUGCUACAUUCAGUUGGGCACUCUAAUGAGACUGCCGGUGACAAGCCGGAGGAAGGUGGGGAUGACGUCAAGUCCUCAUGGCCCUUAUAGGUGGGGCUACACACGUCAUACAAUGGCUGGUACAAAGGGUUGCCAACCCGCGAGGGGGAGCCAAUCCCAUAAAGCCAGUCGUAGUCCGGAUCGUAGUCUGCAACUCGACUACGUGAAGUCGGAAUCGCUAGUAAUCGUGGAUCAGAAUGUCACGGUGAAUACGUUCCCGGGUCUU
rnacentral:rRNA from 1 species